AAUAGGUAUGAGCACUGCUGGAAAAGAAAUGAAAGCAUUGAGGAAUUAGUGGGUGUGGAAAAGAGGAGAAGCAGAAAGUGACAACUGAAUCCACCCACCCAAAACACUGAAACAACUAAUCUGUGACCCCAAGUGGAACAGUUUGGAGCCCGAUUUCCUCAAACUUAUUGGAUUAUCUCUGUAUCAGAGAAAGUAGAUACAAAAGAAGGGAUCGUUGUAGGAGGAACUGUGUCAUGCAGGAGAAAAAUGGGAAUGGACUGCCUUCAAGUCAACCCGACUUAUGGCGACCCUAUGAAUAGGGUUUUCAUGUUGUAUCUAGGUACUUGACAAAAGGGGAGAAAACCCAGGAUUCAGGAGAUCUGCUUUCUACUUGGCUGCAUGAAAAGACACUUGGACUUGAACUACAUCAGGAUCGCGAAGGGCAAGGCACAUGGUAUACAGAAAUGCAGCCAUUCUCCCAGAUCCAAUAAACAGGAAGAGAGGAAACAAGCUUGGGUGCUUAGCAUGGUGCAGAACAUGGCAGCAGUAAACCAGACUGAGGAAGAGGAGAAGGUGCAACAAUCUUCCCCUUUCUUUUUCUUCUUCUUGUGCUGACAGUCUUUUAACUUUUAUUCAUCUAUGGUACUGAUGGGUCUUGAACAUAAAAACAAAAAAUACAUUGCA